ACGCUCGACACCUACGGGAGGAGCAGUGGGGAAUAUUGCACAAUGGGGGAAACCCUGAUGCAGCAACGCCGCGUGAGUGAAGAAGUAUUUCGGUAUGUAAAGCUCUAUCAGCAGGGAAGAUAAUGACGGUACCUGACUAAGAAGCUCCGGCUAAAUACGUGCCAGCAGCCGACGGUAAUCUGAGCGGGCUGGCAAGGC
rnacentral:rRNA from 1 species